UAGGUGGCAAGCGUUGUCCGGAUUUAUUGGGCGUAAAGCGAGUGCAGGCGGUUCAAUAAGUCUGAUGUGAAAGCCUUCGGCUCAACCGGAGAAUUGCAUCAGAAACUGUUGAACUUGAGUGCAGAAGAGGAGAGUGGAACUCCAUGUGUAGCGGUGGAAUGCGUAGAUAUAUGGAAGAACACCAGUGGCGAAGGCGGCUCUCUGGUCUGCAACUGACGCUGAGGCUCGAAAGCAUGGGUAGCGAA
rnacentral:rRNA from 1 species